GGUGACGGUAUCGCUUUGGACCCACCUGAUCCCAUUCCGAACUCAGAAGUGAAACAUAGUUGAGCCGAAGGUACUUACGGGAUACCCUGUCGGGAGAAUAGGUAGUUGCCG
rnacentral:rRNA from 15 species